GGGGUCAGUCACUCUCCGGGCGACCUUCCUCUUGCAGGGUCCUGAGGGUCUCCAGGAAUUCAUCAAUGGUCACUACCCCAUCCUGAUUCCGGUCCAUUUUCUGCAACCCAAGCCACAUCCAAGGGCUCCCUUUCCCUGGCAGGGGCUGAGAUGCUCACCUGGAAGAACCGCUCCACGUGCUCCAUGGGUGCGUCCUCCCGCAGGAUGGGGUUAUUGUGUGGCUUCUACUGAAAUUCACAUCUCUACAGAUGAGGAGCCUCCACGAUAGGCACACAGACGCCCAUUCAGGAAGCUGCUGCAAGACAUGCUCCUGAACAGAGAGGAUAAAGCGAAAGGGAGGAAGAUGAAGGAUUCCAGAACCAGGAGACCCAACCCAGGAGACUGAGAGGAAAAGCGCCCCGCAGAGGAUGGAGCCAUGGGAGGCUGGGAGGUGUCCUCAGGGAGAUGCCAGACAGGAGGUUCCAAUGACUGGAGAAGGCCUGGGCUUGAAUGAAUGGUAAGGUCACAGAAAACCAGGCAAAUGAAAAAUCAGGACAAAUGUUAACUCUAGGCAAAGGACAGGAAAACAUAAUCAUGGUUUACUGCAGUUAAUAUGUGUCUUACCUCUAAGAUAUUAAAAUAAGGGCUGG